rnacentral:rRNA from 1 species
UACGUAAGGGGCGAGCGUUGUCCGGAAUCAUUGGGCGUAAAGCGCGUGUAGGCGGUCCGGUAAGUCCGCUGUGAAAGUCGGGGGCUCAACCCUCGGAUGCCGGUGGAUACUGUCGGGCUUGAGUACGGAAGAGGCGAGUGGAAUUCCUGGUGUAGCGGUGAAAUGCGCAGAUAUCAGGAGGAACACCAAUUGCGAAGGCAGCUUACUACAGGGAUAUUGACACUGAGGCACGAAAGCGUGGGGAUCAAACAGG